rnacentral:rRNA from 1 species
AGGUUGAAAUUCCUGUACUGCACCGAAUCGUUAUGAGCGAUGGAGGGACGCAGGAGGCUAGCAGCGCGUGGUGCUGGAUACCACGUUCAAGCGUCAAGUCUGAGAGUGAGUCAAAUGCUUGCUUUCAUAAGGACAAGGCGUGAUGAGGAGCGAAAUUAAAGUAGCGAAGGUUGCGACGUCACACUGCCGAGAAAAGCUUCUAGCCAGAAACGGUGCACCCGUACCGCAAACCGACACAGGUAGUCGAGGAGAGUAUCCUCAGGUGAGCGAGAGAACUCUCGUUAAGGAACUCGGCAAAAUGGCCCCGUAACUUCGGGAGAAGGGGCGCUGGUCGCAAGAUCAGCCGCAGUGAAAAGGCCCAAGCAACUGUUUAUCAAAAACACAGGCAUCUGCAAAAUCGCAAGAUGAAGUAUAGGUGCUGACACCUGCCCGGUGCUGGAAGGUUAAGAGGAGAGCUUAGCGCAAGCGAAGGUUUGAAUUGAAGCCCCAGUAAACGGCGGCCGUAACAAUAACGGUCCUAAGGUAGCGAAAUUCCUUGUCGGGUAAGUUCCGACCUGCACGAAAGGUGUAAUGAUUUGGGCACUGUCUCAACGAGAGACUCGGUGAAAUUAUAAUACCCGUGAAGAUGCGGGUUACCCGCGACAGGACGGAAAGACCCCAUGGAGCUUUACUGCAGUUUAAUAUUGGGUAUCUGUCAAGCAUGUACAGGAUAGGUAGGAGCCAGAGAAGAUAGGACGCCAGUCUUAUCAGAGGCGCUGUUGGGAUACUACCCUUGCUUGACGGAUGCUCUAACUCAGGCCUGUGAUCCAGGCCGAGGACAGUGUUUGACAGGCAGUUUGACUGGGGCGGUCGCCUCCUAAAGUGUAACGGAGGCGCCCAAAGGUUCCCUCAGAAUGGUUGGAAAUCAUUCGUAGAGCGUAAAGGUAAAAGGGAGCUUGACUGCGAGAGAGACAACUCGAGCAGGUACGAAAGUAGGGCUUAGUGAUCUGGUGGUACCGCAUGGAAGGGCCAUCACUCAACGGAUAAAAGCUACCCUGGGAUAACAGGCUUAUCUCCCCCAAGAGUUCACAUCGACGAGGAGGUUUGGCACCUCGAUGUCGGCUCGUCGCAUCCUGGGGCUGAAGUCGGUCCCAAGGGUUGGGCUGUUCGCCCAUUAAAGCGGCACGCGAGCUGGGUUCAGAACGUCGUGAGACAGUUCGGUCCCUAUCCGUCGUGGGCGCAGGAAAUUUGAGAGGAGCUGUCCUUAGUACGAGAGGACCGGGAUGGACGCACCGCUGGUGUACCAGUUGUCUUGCCAAAGGCAUCGCUGGGUAGCUAUGUGCGGACGGGAUAAGCGCUGAAAGCAUCUAAGUGCGAAGCCCCCCCUCAAGAUGAGAUUUCCCAUUUCUUCAAGAAAGUAAGACACCUCAGAGACGAUGAGGUAGAUAGGCCGGGAGUGGAAGAGCCGUGAGGCUUGGAGCGGACCGGUACUAAUCAGUCGAGGACUUGAUC